CCCGAGAGAAGAUAUGUUGAAAAGGAAGCAAAACCAAAACAAAAAUAAGCAAACGUUUGCAAACGUGUUCAUUCCUGUCCAACUUUGUUUGUCUUUGUCCGGUUGAGCCGACGAUCGGUCAGUGCUUUCGCAGACGUUGAACAGAUAUGGUGCAGGUGCUUGCCACAAAGGAUCAAAAUGUCUAUCUUAGGCUGAGUGCUUUGGAAGAAUGCUUCUCGAAAAUGGAGCGCCGCUGUCUGCUGAUUGAAGAGGGAUAAUAACCCAACCCAUGGCUUCGUGCUUUGCCGUACGCAACUGACUCACCCAACCCCUCGUUCUACGUGACUCUUCCCGGAAUCGGGAAAACGGACGAAAAAUCUACUGCCUGAACAACGAAAAGCUGCCUAUAGUACCUAUCAGACGAAAAUUUCACACAGGAGAAUAUUCGGAGAAGCAGAAAAUUCAACAAAGACGAAACGAAGCACGGAACGUCUCGAAGAUGGCACUUCCAAAGGAUAUUAUCGAGCUUAUGAGAAAAUCUGGCUGUCGAACGGUGACACAUCUGAUAUCGACCAUUUCCGCGCUGCUGCUUCUGACAGUGCUUGCCCUCGGAGAGCAGUUUCUAUUCGGUUCCCUUGGAAGCGGCAGCAAGUUCUACGGGAAACAUGACUUCAAGAAGCUGAUCCAAUAAAAUUGUCACACAGAAAUUAA